GUGAACGCUGGCGGUAGGCCUAACACAUGCAAGUCGAACGGCAGCACAGUAAGAGCUUGCUCUUACGGGUGGCGAGUGGCGGACGGGUGAGGAAUACAUCGGAAUCUACUUUUUCGUGGGGGAUAACGUAGGGAAACUUACGCUAAUACCGCAUACGACCUACGGGUGAAAGCAGGGGAUCUUCGGACCUUGCGCGAUUGAAUGAGCCGAUGUCGGAUUAGCUAGUUGGCGGGGUAAAGGCCCACCAAGGCGACGAUCCGUAGCUGGUCUGAGAGGAUGAUCAGCCACACUGGAACUGAGAAACGGUCCAGACUCCUACGGGAGGCAACAGUGGGGAAUAUUGGACAAUGGGCGCAAGCCUGAUCCAGCCAUACCGCGUGGGUGAAGAAGGCCUUCGGGUUGUAAAGCCCUUUUGUUGGGAAAGAAAAGCAGCAGGUUAAUACCCCGCUGUUCUGACGGUACCCAAAGAAUAAGCACCGGCUAACUUCGUG
rnacentral:rRNA from 1 species